GGGUGAGGGGCAGGCAGCCAACGCUGGAAACAGUGAGGAAGUUCUGUCCUCCCGAGGGUUACAGGCCUCUAAGGGGCCGGGAGUGCUACAGAAACGGUACCGCUCUGCGGAUGAAACGAUCAUUCCCAACCCUGCGACGGAGCAAGCGGAUUGUCCGCGCGUAGUAGAAUGCUGCCCCGAUUCAUUUCGGAACACAGAAGGCAGACUAUGUCCCUCACCC
rnacentral:RNase_P_RNA from 1 species